GAGCCUGGAGAGGCUUCUGGUCCUGGGGGUGGUGCCCUGAAUGUGGAGUCGCAAAACCCUAACACCUGUUCCAGAUCUGCGGGGCAGCAUCAGACCCAGGAAAGUGAAUCUUUUGUUGGCGGCCUCCUUGAAAAUCAGAAUGUAGAGAAGAGAGCUUGUUUUUUGGAGUCAGGAACACCUGGGCUGGAAUCGUAGCUCUGUCACUUCCUGCCGCGUGACAACCUCCCUCUUCGGGAAGGUAAAGGACGGAGCUCAAGUUCAAAGGCUAAGAAGUGGCCAAGCAGAUCCCAUCAGCCGGGGGCCUCCUCCACCCCCCCGAUGCUCAAGGAGUGGUGAGGAGCAAGUAGAAUGAAGAGAGAGCCCUUUGUAAACGCAAGUGCACCGAACACGAUGGGGCUGUCAUCCUGAAGCGUGGGAGAAACGGGAAGGGGCCCCGUCUGGAGAUAAGCAAACUAAGGCUUGGAGAGCUGAGAGCUGAGAUCACAGGCCCAGGCUGUAAGAGGGAAGGUGGGACCAGAAAGAAUCCACAUUGCUCUCACCACCUCAAGAACUCUGAGGGCUGUGCUCACCGCUGUUCUGAAGCAUCACUUCCGCUCUGAAGAUCAGGGCAGCCCGAUUUCCCACGCGAGAGCGGAUAGGGCUGCCCCUGGGAUCUGAGCCAUGUCUGUGACCUACCCCACAGCUCACAACCAUGCUGGAUCCUUAACCAACUGAACAAGGCGAGGGAUCGAACCCUCACCCUCCUGGAUGGGUUGGGUUCAUUACCGCCGAGCCACGACAGGAAUUCCUCUUUAGUUCUUGUUUUAUUCAUUCAUUCAUUCAUUCAUUCAUUCAUUCAUUUACUUAUUUAUUAUGGCCCCAGAGUGGCUUAUGGAAGUUCCUCAGCCAGGGGCCUGAAUCCACAGCCACGCCAGAUCCUUUAACCCACUGCUUCGGGAUGGGAAUUGAACCCACGCCUCUGCAGUGACUGGAGCUGCUGCAGUCGGAUUCUUAACCCACUGUGUCACAGCAGGAACUCCUUGUUUCCUUGAUUUAAGUCCUCUUGUCUCCCCUCAUGACCGGCAGAGCUCUUCCUCCUGCUGCCCUGACCUGCUUCGGGGUCAGACGCUAUGACACCUCCUCCAGGAAGCCCUUCCUGGUUUCCACUGCCUGCGGAGACCCCAGUCUUCAGAGAGUCCCAGAGCCUGCCUCUCAGAGCCUCUCAUCUGGCUUUCAGGGUGCAAAGCCCCUCCUCCCGGAGGUGCCAUGUCCCCACAGGGCACUCCUGCCCAGUUCAGCCUCCGCCCUGGCCCCUGUGAGACUCCCCAGCACCAGCAGGAUAAAUCACCCUCUUCUCUGGGCUAGGCUGGGCCUUUGGGUUUGUUCUGUUGCCCCCUCGUUCCGCAUCUGCCUCCUGCAGGCUGGUCAUCACGCAGACGGGAUUGAAGAAGGCAUGUCCCCCCCGGCUUCCCUCUCAGGGUGGAGCAGCCAUCAUUCCUGGUGCUCAGCUGCCCGGAAGUCUCCCUUUCAACCUCGUGGUGGUUAAUUUCAUGUGUCCACUUGCCUGGGCUAAGGGAUGUCCAGACAGCUGGUCACACAUCACUUCUGGGUGUGUCUGUGUGGAAGGUUCCAGAAGAGAGGAGCACUGGAAUCGAUGGACUGAGUGAAGAAGUGGAUGGGCAUCACCUGUUCCCCGAGGACGCAAACAGAACAUAAAGAUGAGCCAUGUGCUCUCUGAGCUGGGACCUUCACCUUCUGCUUUUGGGCAUCACGCUUCUAAGCUCCUCAGAACUUUAGACCCAGACUGAAUUCUACCACCCACUUUCCUGCUUCUCCAGCUUGCAGAUGACAGACUGCGGGGGUUUGGAGCCUCAUAAUUGCAGGAACUAAUUCUUAUACUAAAUGUAUAUAAAAUGUAUGUUUAUAUAGAAAA
rnacentral:lncRNA from 1 species